AAAAAUGAAAACUAAAUGAAAAAUAAAAGAAAAUAUCAAUUAAAUGCAAAAAUGAUUUUAAAAAUUAUGCAAAAAAUAUAUGUGAUGCAAAAUAGUGUUAGGGAUUUUCUGUAAAUAUUUUGAUAAAAAAUGAAUUAAAAAUAAAUGAAAAUUAAAUCAUAAAAUAAAAGGAAAUAAACAUGAAAAAUAAAAGAAAAGAAAAU
rnacentral:lncRNA from 1 species